GGUUUUUCGGGACCGCGGUUUACCUGGUGUAACAAUCAAUCCGGUAGUGCUAGGGUUUGGGAGCGAUUAGAUAGGGCCUUUGCGACCCCAGAUUGGAUUCUUCGUUUCCCUACCUGCUGUGUUAGUCACUUACCCCGGAUUGCAUCAGACCACUGUCCUUUGCUGAUUUCCACUUCAUCGGGACCUGGUCAUCAUAGCCCCUUCCGUUUCGAGAAGAUUUGGCUAUCGUACCCUCAGUCUUGGGACAUCGUUCGCGAUGCAUGGCGUGUCCCGGUACGGGGAAAUGCGAUGCAACGGGUCUCCCGCAAACUUGAGAUGACCAAACGACGGCUUCGUCGUUGGAAUCGCGAGGAAGUGGGCGACAUCUUUCGG
rnacentral:lncRNA from 1 species